rnacentral:rRNA from 1 species
ACCCCGGGAGGGGAGUGAAAGAGAACCUGAAACCCUGUGUCUACAAGCUGUGGGACCUCUUUAUAUGAGGGACUGCGUACUUUUUGUAGAACGGUCCGGCGAGUUGUGCGUACUGGCGAGGUUAAGGACUUAAGGUCUGGAGCCGAAGUGAAAGCAAGCGUUAAUAGCGCGUCAAGUCAGUGAGUGCAGACCCGAAACCGGGUGACCUAUCCAUGUCCAGGUUGAAGCUUCCGUAAGAGGAAGUGGAGGACCGAACCCACAUCCGUUGAAAAGGGUGGGGAUGAGGUGUGGAUAGCGGAGAAAUUCCAAUCGAACCCGGAGAUAGCUGGUUCUCCCCGAAAUAGCUUUAGGGCUAGCGUCGAGGUAAGUUGCGUGAAGGUAGAGCACUGAAUAUGUGAUGGCCCCAUCUCGGGGUACUGAGCAUAAUCAAACUGCGAAUGUCACGCCAACAUGCUCGGCAGUCAGACAGCGGGUGAUAAGGUCCGUUGUCAAGAGGGAAACAGCCCAGACCAUCAGCUAAGGUCCCAAAAUGUAUGCUAAGUGGAAAAGGAUGUGGAGAUGUACAGACAACUAGGAGGUUGGCUCAGAAGCAGCCAUCCUUUAAAGAGUGCGUAACAGCUCACUAGUCGAAUGACUCUGCGCCGAUAAUUUACCGGGGCUAAGCAUACUACCGAAGCUAUGGAUCCCAAGGGAUGGUAGGGGAGCGUUCCAUGAACGGAGAAGUACGACCGAAAGGACGUGUGGAGAUCAUGGAAGAGAGAAUGCCGGUGUGAGUAGCGGAACGUGGGUGAGAAUCCCACGCACCGAAAACCCAAGGUUUCCAGAGGAAGGUUCGUCCGCUCUGGGUAAGUCGGGACCUAAGGCGAGGCCGAAAGGCGUAGUCGAUGGACAACAGGUAGAGAUUCCUGUACCCGUAUAUAUGUGAAGGAAUGACGGAGAGAGGAAGCUGCAGCCAGCGGCUGGAAGAGCUGGUGCAAGCGAGAUAUCGGGAUGGCAGGCAAAUCCACCAUCCGAAACGAGAAGGCGUGAAGCGUACGGAAAGCUACGGCGAGUACGGAAGGCAGUGGAGGAACUUCCAAGAAAAGUUUCUAACGUUAAGUAUAUAUGGCCCGUACCGAAAAUGGACACACAUGGGUGAGGAGAGAAUCCUAAGGUGAGCGAGAGAACUAUAGCUAAGGAACUCUGCAAAAUGACUCCGUAACUUAGGGAGAAGGAGUGCUCAUAGAGAUAUGAGCCGCAGUGAAACGGCCCAAGCGACUGUUUACCAAAAACACAGCUCUCUGCUAAGCCGCAAGGCGAAGUAUAGGGGGUGACGCCUGCCCGGUGCUGGAAGGUUAAGGGGAGGGGUUAACGCAAGUGAAGCCCUGAACUGAAGCCCCAGUAAACGGCGGCCGUAACUAUAACGGUCCUAAGGUAGCGAAAUUCCUUGUCAGGUAAG